rnacentral:lncRNA from 1 species
AGCUCUGGUUUCCCCAGAAGAUGUUACUGUUCUGUCCUGCUCCCACAGAGAGAGUCAGCCGGAACUCCCCGCUGAGCCACAGCUGUCAGGAGAAGGGUCAGGUUCUGAAGAUGAUUCUGACCUCUUUGUCAACACCAAUCACAGACAGUAUCAUGAGAGUGAGGAGGAGAGUGAAGAAGAAGAGGAGGAGGCGGCCUGAGCCCCAGGACCCACUUCUCUACUUGCUCAGGGACUACCCCUUGGCUUUUCUGGGUUUGGACAUUCCCAGGGUGCCCUGCAGAUCUUUUCCUUUGGAUGGGGACAAAGCAUGGCCCCUUUCUGAACUGACAUAAAAAGAAUUAAACCCCUGGUGGGUAGUGACUUAC